rnacentral:lncRNA from 1 species
AGCCGCAGACCUGCCCUUGCCAGACAGCUGCUGUUUGAACCCAGUUCUGACCGUAAAAUCAAAAGUGGGUCCGAGGGAAGCGGUAAACACUGUGCAAUGAGCCUUUUGAAGGCAGCUGAUGCCUCAUUUGGGGUGACAUGUUGUGGCUGAUGAGUGUGGAUGAUGUGGGGUUUUCGAUAAGUGCCUCAUCAGUAUCCUCAUCAUGCUCGUGUUGCUCCGCCGCGGCGUGUGCCCUGACUUGAUUGUAAUUGCCCGAAUCUGCUCCCGCUGCUCAGGCGCGCACAGUAAUAUGCAAUAAAACAGCAAGAAGUGAAUGUUAACCAUCUGAGUUCUGACACGGCGGCUCUGCAGUUCAAGAUCUCCAUUAAGACCGAAAAAAAAAAGAAAAGAAAAAAAGGAAAGAAGGAAUCAGAAAAUUCCCAGGGUCUCCUUCUGUGAUCCAAGGGAAAGUCCAGAAAUUAAGGAGCUGUUUGUUUAGUCUUCUUAGGUCCUCACAGGUAGAAACUAACAGGUAGUUUGCUAGUGUUUAUUUAUUUAUAAUUAUUUUUUUUUUACAUCCCAGGUGUCGCUGCCCUUGCUGCUUAACUCUAAUAGCAGGCACCGCUGCAGCACUUGCCCAGGUGUGGAGGGUGGUCCAGGUCUUCAGGGGAGGCAGAGACCCUCCUCGCCCCAGUCUGUCAGUGUCCUCCGUAAGCCUUCGGUUGUUUCAGGUGCUAAAUAUGUAAGAUCCAACUUUUCAGCGAACUCAAAGAGGCAGACACCUGAAGCACUGCUUCAUCAAAUCACUCACUGCUUACUGGCUUGGUUUUCAACUUCGCUAACAUGCAGAGUGACCUAAAUGGUCUCUUCCGUUCUUUCCACAAUGACCACACACCUACGGAGGUCGCCUUCUAUACUUUGAAUUAAACCUGCUAGUGUCAGGGACAUCGGGAGAACCAACUUCUGGAAACUGAGCUGGUCCCCAGGACUGUGUAUUUAGUUUUCAACUGUAAGAAAAGGAAGUCUAUCUGGGAAAGGAGACCUGAGGUGCUGAAAAACAAGGGAAAAAAUGGUCUUGAAAACAAGGAAUCAUAUUUGCCUGUGGAUAUGGAAGAGUUUCAGAUUUGUAAUUAUUGCUGAGCGCAAGAAAACAUCAGGAAGAUUUGUGGUUUAUGGAAGAAUAGGCACCUUCCAACGUUAAUCUUAUCUCCCUAUUGCAGGUAACUAGUAUCUUCAGCUGGAAAUAUCAAAUGCAAAUCUCUUAAUUUGUUUAACACAGAGAUUUUAAUUUCCCAUUCAUAUCAGUGUCUGUAUACUCCUGAGUUUUACACAAUGCUUGUCCUCCUUUAGUUGGCUUGUACAGUAUUGUUUUUUCCAGUUAUAAAUAGAGAACAUUGGGCAUGUGGGUUAUCAUUUUUAAUUGAGCUAAAUUAAGCUAAUCAUAAAAAUUCUUCUUGCCAGUGA